rnacentral:lncRNA from 1 species
GGGUUUCGAUGGACCGGAGACUCCAGUUUUGCACGAUCGAAUGGCUUGGAGCAUUGCCAAUCUUGAUAUGAUGGCUAAGAAAAUUGUUUGGUGCUGUUAGGAAGCCUGAUUUGCUUUGGAAUCAGGAUUGAGCUCGAUCGGAGGCUAUAAAUAGGCCUGUGGCAAAAUAGUGGCUGUGUUGCACAGGUUCCUUUGGUUGUUCGGCAGAAGACCCACAGUA